AUGGUUAUCAGAGUUAAAGAAAAUAGCACUGUUCUAUUUGAUGCACAGAUCUAGUAAGGGUGGCAAUGAUAAGUUACUUGGUUACAAGAACGAGUUGAGGUCUAGCACCUACUGAGGUGUGGUACUAUGUGAUUCUGAGAUGAUAGUAACUACUCUGAGGCAUUAUAAAAUAUAUCAGAAAAUAAAAUUUGCUGAGCCCCAUUACCAAGAAGCAAAACUUGCUAAAUGGCACUUUAAACUUUGCAUCUGAUAAAGGAAUGAUUUAUUUGACAUUUGACUGGCCCACUUGCAGCAAUCAUUACAUUGCUAUAUUCAGUGACUGUGCAAAGGGGAAAGGAAGAAUAAAUCAUGUGGAGAUGCUCUCAAGUUAAUAUCUGGUGACCACGUAAUGCCAAAUUUUUAACACAAGAUCUGUCCAUGACAGCAUAAAUAAUGGAGUGUACUUGCCGUUCAGGUCAAGAGAGUGGGGCUUUUGAUCAUGAAAACCGCCUAUAACUAAUUGACAUGACAUGAUUGCACAGAAAUUGAUAAUAAGAGUUAUGUAGAGAAAAUUAUGACAUUUAAAAUAUUAACUUCAUUUAAAUUGCUUUCAGGUGAAACGGUGAUAUAUUUGCGAAACCAAAUUCAUAUCAACAUAAUUAUAAGAUAAAAUAUAAGGAUGAAAAGUACCCUUGCUGGAAUGACCUUAGUUGCCAUUCACCAGCCUUGGUGAGAGCACCAGAACACACUGGCACAAUUAGAAAGAGAAGCAAGAAACUCUAUCACUUCUGUGUGUUCUGCAACUUGAUCAGACAAAAUGCUCUCACUGAACAAGGAAACUCUCCGAAAGAACAUGGAGACUUAGCCAAAGAAUCUGGGAAGACUGCUAAGUUGUAAAGUCGUCUGCACAUGAAAACGUUCUGCAGAGGAAGGGGAUGCAGAAGGGGAAACUGGAUGUUCUCUAGCAAUUUCUAAGCACAUGGCUGGGAGAAAAUGAAACUGGUUCAAGGGACUAUAGGACAUUACUCCCCUUAAAGUUAACAGAUGGUAAUAUGAAUUUUCUUAAACUUCAGUUAUAGUCUAGAAGGAAAAUGAAGGCUGUAGCCCUAGGACUGGAAAUGCCAGCAUGGUCAGUCCUGUGUGCCCUAGCUUUGAGCUUGGCAUAAUAAAACCCUCCCUUCUCCUGCAUAAAUUACAGUAUUCUCCCCUCCAUGGAGAGUGUGGGGAGAUAAUCAAAAUGAACUAGUUUAGAAAUUAAAAAAAAAAUCUCGACAACCUCUGACUUUAAUAAAGUCUUCCAAUUAGGGGUCAACUUUAGUAUUUAUUGGACAAAUGUGGAUAGGGAAGACUGACUAUUUUUUUCUCUUUUUGGCAUCAGUAUGUAUAACUAGCUGUCUAGGUUGUUAAGUUCCCAAGCAGGGAUGAGUUUAAAAUGCAUGGAUUCUAUUAUGUGUACAAUUUAAUCACAAGGUAUUUAAAAUAGACAUUUCCAUCUAAAAUCCAAUCAGAAAUCAACACAGUUCCUCCGGCGUUAGAUGAUCAUCUGGAUUCUGCAUUUGUAAACUGGGAGAAAUAAAUGUGACUUGUGGAUACCAAGAGGUCAAGUGCGGCUGCUCAAAUAUUUUUCUUACAAAAUGACGGAUUUAUUAGACAAAUAAGUAGCCCGGCUGAUGCAAAACCCCCAGUGAUUGAAUUUUGACGUUAAGUCAACAACAACUCGAACUACAUCAGUGCUUCAAGAUUUAGUUAUGAUGGUAGAGAUUACUGAACAAAUAAGAGACAGAAAUGAAUACAGAUUUCCUAGGAGCUGCCCCUGGCACCCUCUUCGUGACAUUCUCUUCCACAUGCUCCCCUUGCUCACACUGUAUGAUAAUUAAAGGACUUGCCUAGGCCUCACAAUUGGAAAGGAACUUUAAAAUAAUUAGGCAUAUUUUUCUGUUUUAAAAAAAAAUAGGCAGGCUCAGAACGAAAGCCAGUUGAGUUUCAUAAUAAAUUCCUUCCUGGCCUGAAAGUCACCCACAAUUAGAUUGGAGGGAAAAUGCACUGAGUCUUUUUCUCUUUCUUUCUUCUCUCUCUCUCUCUCUCUCUCUCUCUCUCUCUCUCUCUCUCUCUUUAUUUCACUUUUAUUUUUCUAAGUUCUUUUCUUAACGGUUGUGUUCACAAACUCUCUUCUGUAUUUUACAAAACAGAGCCCUCUGUGUAGUUUGAGGACAUGAGAAAUGUCAGCAUCCCAUUCAAAGAUUAGGACACACUGAUAACACUAACACACACACACACACACACCAAGAGUAUGUAAGAUUUUGCCUCUCCAGUCUCAACAGCAGCACAUGCGCUUGCGCUGGCCGUGGUGCUGAAAUUUUGACUUUCCUCCUAGGAAGAGCCUGCAACCCUCAAGGAAGCUUUAGAGAAUUGUUUGUGUUUUUUCUGAAAGGAACCUUAAAUAGUUGAGACUAUAUUUAAAGAUAAAGCAGUUUAUUUCUGAUAUUCUGAUGGAUAAGGGGACUAAUUUGUUCCUGGUGUGGACAUUUUGUCUUUUAUUUUAUAUAUAACAUCUUUACUUCAGGGGGAGAGUGACUCAGUUUACCCCAUGUGUCCUCUUGGUCCCAUCAAGCAUGCAUUCCUUCUGCUUUCUCUUCUUUUCUGAUUUCUUCUUUUCUUAUGGCAUGGCUCUCAGCUAUUGCCGCUGGGUUAUGGAGCUUCGUGAUGUAUAGACACAAAACUAUAUUUGAUUUUAAGGUUUUGUCUUAUUAAGGGCUUGAGGUAAUUUGAUCUUGUAACUAGAACUUUGCUUUCUGGGUUGCCGGACUCAGAUCUCCAGAGGUAAUAAACUUGAGCCAGAUCUUUAUUUAAAUACAAUGAUAAUUCUACUCUAUGAAAUAAACCACUCAUCCAACCUUCUCUCCCAGUUUGUCAUAUUCUCUUGCCAUCAAAGCCUGCAGCCCUUAACUACACAUAUGUUUUCAUUGUCCUGAAUUUUUAAAAUGAACUUUGCAAGGCUUGGAAAGUACACCUAGAAAUUUUAAAUUUAACCCUGUACUAACAAUAGAACUCACUACAAAGGAGUGAUUGGUGUUAGUUUUUGCCCCCUUGUUGCUCCCAGGAGUAGAUGAUAACUUGUAACAAAUAAAACCUUUCUAUUAGUAAGGAGAAUAUGCUAUCAUCUUUUUUCAAAAUAUACUUCUGUUUACAGUUGCCUAAACUCAUCUCCAGAUUUAUAUUUCAAUAUGCUCUUUAGGAUGCAAAAUUCCUGUCAAAUUAAAAAGUGCUCAUGUCUUGCCCGCUUCCAGCAAAUCACUGCAGCCCCUAAUAAAUCCAGCUGGGGUUCGUUCCACGGCCUGAUGCUGCUGAAAUCAUUAUUGUCCUGCCUUGUUUCAUGUCAGAGGCCUCUUUGCCUCAUCUGUCAUGAAACCAAUUUCACUUUAUUUACAUCCAUUUGCUAGUUUAAUUACUGUGCUGAUGAAUAGCCUGAAGGAAUUAAGUUACGAGUCUUUGGAAACCAAAAGAGACAGAUAUAUGGGCUAGCUUUUAACUACAGGGAAAGAAAUAAAGGCUAGUGGCUUACACCAAAAUUUAAAGAUAAAAAGUAUUUCUCCCUACCAAGCUGCUAAUUCAGGAUUAUCCAUCUUCACGUAUGCAGCCCCUCCUGGAUGGAAGUGUGCUUUAGAGUUCUUCAUAUUUAUAGAUGGACCAGUUCUGUACACUAGUAUUCUCCACUUUUAAAUGCACCAACACCCCCCCUUUUUUUCAUAACUAAGCUUCACAUAUGAUUUCCCAGCCAAACCAAACAGUCUAACGUAGUGGACUCCUUAUUAAAAGCAGAUAACAAAUGUUAACCUUAUCCUGCACCUAAGAUAGGAAAAUGCCUUUGUGAGAACUAUAAAACUUAAUACCUCCAGACUAAUAUAUAGUACAAAUUACCUGUAUUUUGUACAUACUGUAAUAGCACUUAGAUAAUUUUUGUUUUAUAUAAUUAAGCACUAUUUCACCCUCGCCUUUAGUGUAUUUUUAAAUCUUUCUUAAGGACAUUCAGUUACUUUCUUCCUUACAUGCCCAACAUAGUAAAAUGUUGUGGGUGUAUGCUAACGAUGAGGUCUUAUGAUCUAAGUGAUAGAUGCACUCUCAAACAUAUGUAAGCAAUCAAGUAUUUACUCACACACAAUGGAAAUAUAAGAUCAAUAAACUUUUAGUCAUUCCAUAUAUUACAAAUUAACUUCUACAAUAUAAGCUUAUUAAUCAUGACAGUAUUUAAAAGAAGACAUAUUCAGCAGUAUGUAUUCCCUAUUAUAUCACUUAUUGUAGCUUUUACGAUAGAAAUUUGGAAACUUUUCACGUUAUUUAUCAUCAUUGUAAAUUAAAACAACACAUAACAAAUUGACUUUUGGUGAUUUUACUGUAGACUGUAGUCUCAAGUAAGACUGCACAUGCAGAUAAGUAAGUUUUAAAUUUAUCUUGAUUAUUUUUUUUUCUUCCAUUGCUCUGUUUCUGGUACAGUUUCUAGCCUUUUAAAAAUGAAUGUACUCCCUGGAUUUACUUACGAAAUGUGUGCAUAUGACAAAUAUAUUCAUCUCUUAAUAAAAUUUUAAUUAUU